CCUACGGGUGGCAGCAGUGGUGAAUAUUGCACAAUGGGGGGAACCCUGAUGCAGCGACGCCGCGUGGGUGAAGGAGUAUUUCGGUAUGUAAAGCCCUAUCAGCAGGGAAGAACAAUGACGGUACCUGACUAAGAAGCCCCGGCUAACUACGUGCCAGUAGCCGCGGUAAUACGUAGGGGGCAAGCGUUAUCCGGAUUUACUGGGUGUAAAGGGGGCGCAGACGGCAGCGCAAGCCAGGAGUGAAAGCCCGGGGCCCAACCCCGGGACUGCUCUUGGAACUGCGCGGCUGGAGUGCAGGAGGGGCAGGCGGAAUUCCUGGUGUAGCGGUGAAAUGCGUAGAUAUCAGGAGGAACACCGGUGGCGAAGGCGGCCUGCUGGACUGCGACUGACGUUGAGGCCCGAAAGCGUGGGGAGCAAACAGGAUUAGAUACCCUGGUAGUC
rnacentral:rRNA from 1 species